CUGCAGCCCGAGUGGUGGUCGAUAUUAUUGAGCCUAAAGCGUCCGUAGCCGGACCAGUAAAUUCUUGGGUAAAUCGGGCAGCUUAACUGUCCGACUUCCGAGGAGACUGCUGGUCUUGGGACUGGGAGAGGUCAGAGGUACUCCAGGGGUAGGGGCUAAAUCCUGUAAUCCUUGGGGGACCACCAGUGGCGAAGGCGUCUGACUAGAACGGAUCCGACGGUAAGGGACGAAACCCUGGGGCGCAAACCGGAUUAGAUACCCGAGUAGUCC
rnacentral:rRNA from 1 species